GACGAACGCUGGCGGCGUGCCUAACACAUGCAAGUCGUACGGGACCGGGGGCGAACUCCGGUUCAGUGGCAGACGGGUGCGUAACACGUGAGGAACUUGUCCGGUGGCGGGGGAGUAGCCGGCCCAACGGCCGGGUAAUACCGCAUACGCUCGUUCGGGGGCGAUCCCUGGGCGGAGGAAAGCAGCCGCAAGGUUGCGCCGACGGAGGGCCUCGCGACCUAUCAGCUUGUUGGCGGGGUAACGGCCCACCAAGGCGACGACGGGUAGCUGGUCUGAGAGGAUGAUCAGCCACAUUGGGACUGAGACACGGCCCAGACUCCUACGGGAGGGCAGCAGUGGGGAAUAUUGCGCAAUGGCCGCAAGGCUGACGCAGCGACGCCGCGUGUGGGAUGACGGUCUUCGG
rnacentral:rRNA from 1 species